rnacentral:rRNA from 1 species
UACGAAGGGGGCUAGCGUUGCUCGGAAUCACUGGGCGUAAAGCGCACGUAGGCGGGUCCUUAAGUCAGGGGUGAAAUCCCGGAGCUCAACUCCGGAACUGCCUUUGAUACUGGGGAUCUUGAGUCCGGAAGAGGUGAGUGGAACUCCGAGUGUAGAGGUGAAAUUCGUAGAUAUUGGGAAGAACACCGGUGGCGAAGGCGGCUCACUGGCUCAUUACUGACGCUCAGGCGCGAUAGCGUGGGGAUCAAACAGG